rnacentral:misc_RNA from 1 species
GAAAUGCGAUAAGUAGUGUGAAUUGCAGAAUUCAGUGAAUCAUCGAAUCUUUGAACGCACAUUGCGCCCCUUGGUAUUCCAUGGGGCUUGCCUGUUCGAGCGUCAUUUGUACCCUCAAGCUCUGCUUGGUGUUGGGUGUUUGUCCCCGUCUCCGCGCGUGGACUCGCCCCAAAGUGAUUGGCAGCCGGCGUACUGGUCCCGGAGCGCAGCACAUGUCGCGCAAACGAGUGCCUUGGUACGGCGGCGUCCAUAAGCCCCUCUCUCACGCUCUUGACCUCGGAUCAGGUAGGGAUACCCGCUGAGCUUAAGC